GCCUUCAUGGUGUAGUGGUCAGCACGCUCGACGCGUAACCGAGAGGUCCUUGGUUCCAUUUCUGGCGAAGGCG
rfam:Stegodyphus mimosarum contig78480, whole genome shotgun sequence.